ACCAGGAUGGCUGAGAGAUUACGGUGUUGGACUUAAGCUCCAAUAAGUGUUUGUCUGUGUGGGUUCAAACCCC
rnacentral:tRNA from 1 species